rnacentral:lncRNA from 1 species
GAACAAUCCUUGGUGGGAGGGAGGCUUAAAUCUUUACCUUCUCCCCAGAUAAAUCUCAACCCACUUUUAUUUCAGGUUGGGAGAUAUCUUGGUCUAACCUCCUGACCCAGCCCUUGGUGGGUCUUCUCUCAGAGGUGCCCUGAUAGGCACUGGUUAGAGAGGGCUGUUGCCAGGACAACGGAAACCAAACACUGGCGGAAGUGUCAUUAUUUCUGAGGAUGUGACUGUCCAACUGGUGGAGAUGGAUGGAUACUCUCUUCAGAGUGUGAACACAAGAGCUCCUGAGGCUCUUCUGUGGUACCGUGACGGUUUCUUACGGCCGCCUCCCCCACCGGAGGGCUGGCUGUGGGCUCUUCGAAGACACCCGACACGUCUGCCUGCACACGGCCCCACUGCCAGCUGUUAGACGAACGCGCGGGCGCACAGGAGCGGUAAGCAGCGUGGUUCACGGACUCGGCUUCUCAUCCGGAGGCCCCUCGCGCUGGCGCUGCUGGGAAGGCCUGAGGCAGGGAAGGAUGGGGGCGAGCGCGGAGAGAGAAGCAGCCCGGAGCGCGGCGGCAGAAGGCAGUUCUGUCCUGAGCUCUGAGCGGACUGGGUAUUAUUUCUUUCUGUUACGCUCCUCACACCCUCCCUCUCCGCGGCCGUUUCUCUCAGCUCUCAAACCUCUGAUCUUGGACCCCAGGUAGGGUCAGCUUUAAGUGCAGGGAGAGAAGACAGCUGCCUCGGCGAUGCGAUCCCGGGG